rnacentral:lncRNA from 1 species
CUUUAACAUUCCAUUAAACCUCAGUCACUUGUGGGACUAUGUUUCAGGAUACAGUCUUCACCAGUUGUUCAAUCUUUUCUGGAGUCACAAUUGUUCUUCAUGGUCCUAAUUCCUGCUUCAUGGUCCCUGGAUGUGACAUCCCCAAUCCAUUUCUCUGAAUGCCUGAAUUCACUGGAAAUAUGUCUCUCACUCCCUUAGCUUCCUCGUGGAGAAGGCCAUAUGACAAGGAAUGGAAGAAGGCCUCUGACCAACAGCUAAAGAAGCAAUCAGAAGCAGAUGCAGAGAUGAAGUAUAUUUGCACAGAAUUUCCUGAAGUACUCUCAGGAGAGACUAAUUACAAGUCUGGAAGCAGCAGAAAAAUAUUGUAAAGAAGCUAUCAAAGGAACAAUUUCAGGUUCAGUGGUAGCCUCAGUCAGUCUUCUGGGGAGCUCUAGAAAAUAAAUUAUACUUUGAAAUGCAAA